CUUUUCUAGGGCCGCUCCCGCGGCACAUGGAGGUUCCCAGGCUAGGGGUCGAAUCGAAGAUAUAGCUGCCGGCCUAUGCCAGAGCCACAGCAACGCAGGAUCCGAGCCAUAUCUGUGACCCACACCACAGCUCAUGGCAACGCCAGAUCCUUAACCCACUGAGCGAGGCCAGGGAUCAAACCUGCAAUCUCAUGUUUCCUAGUUGGAUUCGUUAACCACUGAGCCACGAUGGGAACUCUGAUACUAGUCAGAUUCUUAACCUGCUGAUCCACAAUGGAAACUCCAUGCCAUGUCUUUUUAUGGAAUAACUCUUCUAUCAUUAUAUAGUAUCCCUCUCUGUUAUUAGUAAUUUUCUUUGCUCCAAAGUCCACUGUAUUUUAUAUUAAUAUAGCUAUUCCUAUUAUCUUUUCAUUAACAUUUGCAUGAUAACUCAUUAUCCAUUCCUUACUUUCACCUUACCAAUAUCAUUUUAUCUGAAGAGAAUUUAUAAAGAGACAGCAUUAUAGUUGGGUGCUAUCUUUUAAUACACUCUGACAAUAUCUUUUAAUUGUUGUAUAUUGACCAUUUACAUUUAAUGUAAUUAUUGAUAUGUAAAGGCUAAAGUCUGUAAUUUUAUUUAUUGUUUUCUGUUUUUCUCUAUUUUUCAUUUCUCUGAGUUUUUUUCCUGCCUUCCUUCCACGUUUCAUAAUUCAAUUUUGAUUUAUUUAUAAUAUUUUGAGUGUCUCUUUGUAUAGCUUUUACUGUAGUUGCUUUACAUAUAACAUCAAAUAUACAUAAUUUAUCACAUUCUGAUGGUGUCAUCAUAUAAUCAGUUUGAGUGAAGGGUGUCAUGAAUCAUGUACUACUGAAUAUGCAAAAGUGUGAGAUUUGGUAAAUCAAAACUAUAAACAUCAAAAUAAUUGAAGCUAUUUGAGAUACUGCACUGUUUUUCCCCAAAAAAUCUCCUAUUUUCUCCAUCUAGAACUACAUAUAUGUUCAUAUCACCACUAAAAAGAUAACUAGGAUGUGAACUGAGAUUGAUGAGGGAGAAAAAAAUACCUCACUCCUAUUUGAAACACCAAGAUUUCUAUCAUUUGAUACACACUUUUUCAGAUAGACAACUUUAGAGAUAAUGUCUAAGAGAAUGUGUUUUCUAAUACAUUAAAGUGAAUAGAAAUAUUAAAAGUUUUGAAACCUGGAUAAAAUUUUUCCUCUUAUUCCAUUUAUCAAGGAUAUGGAACAUCAACAGGUUAUAAUCUGUUAUAAUUAUAAAUAGGCUUAACAAUUACCUAGACUAUUAUUCACCUUUUAUAGAAAAUUAAUUUCAGAGAGGCAAAGUUAACUUGCACCAGGUCAUAAGUGAGUCAGGACCUAGAAUUGAGGUCUGAUGACACUGAACUACACAAUCAGGAAUAAAAAUAUUAAGGUUUUUUUUGGAGUUCCCAUUGUGGCUCAGUGGUUAACAAAUCUGACUAGCAUCCAUGAGGACGCAGGUUCGAUCCCUGGCCUUCGUCAGUGGGUUAAGGAUCCAGCGUUGCCAUGAGCUGUGGUGUAAGUCGGAGAUGCGGCUCAGAUCUGAUGUUGCUGUGCCAUAGAUAUAUUGCAGACAUUGGCCCACAAGAAGUUCCCAACAGGAACUUGUAAGUUAGCAUGUCCUGGAUAGAAGUUUUCCCCCUUCUAUCCAGGCUACUACAGAGCAGCAAAUAUGAAGGACACUGACAUAUUUUCCACAUUAUGCAGUUUUUAUUCACUUUAGAUGUAAAAAUAGUUAAGUAUAUACAAGAGGGACAGUUCUCAAUUCCCUAAAUAUUCUUUAUACUCCCUCAUUCAUUUUAUGAACGAUCAAACCUCUAGCUUGUAGCUCUGAGUGACAGAUUUCCUCUUUUAGUCAUGAAAUGUUCUAUGACCAAACUUUAGAAAAAAUUCUGCUCUACAGCUCCCAUUUAUAUUCACAGUCAGAUACUAUAAUUAAAUAAUAGAGUUUCAUUUACUUGGGCUCAAAUCCAUUAAUUUUUUUUUUCUUAUUUUUACUCAUCUCUUUUCUCUGAAACGUAUCCCAGUAUUAUUAUUAUCCUUGAGCACACAAAUACACAGAUCUGUGAAUCUAUAAUGAGGUCUUCCCAUUUUUUAAGAAUAGAUUUUGCUUUGAUUAAAUAUCUAAAUUACCUCCACUUAGAUGUUAUCCAAAUAUGAAUAAAUACCUGAUCCUACUGAGGAAAAAACAAUCUUUAACCUUUAAUGGCUGACCUCAUAGUCAAGUACACGUAUCAUGUUUACUCCAGGGAAAAUCCUGGUUCACAAGCUGACUUGGGUUCCGUGACCUGAUGCCCACAGAGGGUGAAUGUGCUAAUGGUCUGCACCAAAGUGAGAAUUCAAAUGCCCUUCUAUUCAAGCCCAGUGGACUGGCCACAUUGAGAAGGCACCAUUCAGCAUUAUGUACAGAGAGAGCCAUCUGCCUUCCUCUCAACCAGUGGUGCCACAUGUGCUGAGGAGCAGGACAAGUUAAGACUCUAAACACUCCACCAGGGAAGUAUCUUAAUCAGAAAGAAAAACUAAGCUACCCCAGCUGCCAGUGUGUCCAACUCUUUAACCAGACAGAACUUCUGCACUCCUAGACUCUUUUUUUUUUUUUUACGAGAGGAGAGGAAGCUUGCGGAAUUUGUAUUCACACGUCCAAUGUUGUGCUCUCACCACAUGCCUAUGAAACUCCCUUGUCAACAGAGCUUUUACCCUUGCCUUUUUCUCUUUUUCAGGAUUUCUACUCUAAAUCCCCAGCGCACUUAGAGCAGUGAUCUCAGAGGCAUUUCUAUAGCUGAUGCAAAUUAUAUUUUGUGUUUACCUCCUGGAGAUGGGGUGGGAAAGGGAAAGAAGUGUAAAAGCUCCAAAGUGGCAGCUAAAACCAAACCAGCUGAAGAAAGCUCAUCACAUUUUUCACUGGUCUGCUGUGAAAAUGCCCCCUGCUAAUUUAGGAAAAUCUUUGUGGACUUUAACAUGAAAAAGUUACACAGGUAAACCCCUAGGCUGAUGUCCACACACUGACGGUGAAGUUAGGCUUUUGCCAGUAAAAAAAUCAGUGGAGGAACAGGCCAAAUACCUUCCAUAUAGAUAAGAGUACAAACUGUUAAUAGAAAGACAACUUAUAAAUACAUUUUUCAUUGUUAAUAGGCCACAUUUCUACAUAAG
rnacentral:lncRNA from 1 species